AUUGAACGCUGGCGGCAGGCCUAACACAUGCAAGUCGAGCGAGCGGCGGACGGGUGAGUAAUGUAUGGGGACUGCCCGAUAGAGGGGGAUAACUACUGGAAACGGUGGCUAAUACCGCAUAAUAUCGGAUAGCCCAUGUGGGAUUAGGUAGGUGGUGAGGUAAAGGCUCACCAAGCCGACGCUCGCUAGCUGGUCUGAGAGGAUGACCAGCCACACUGGCACUGAGACACGGCCCAGACUCCGACGGAGGCAGCAGUGGGGAAUAUUGCACAAUGGGCGCAAGCCUGAUGCAGCCAUGCCGCGUGUAUGAAGAAGGCCUUAGGGUUGUAAAGUACUUUCAGCGGGGAGGCGUUACCCGCAGAAGAAGCCCCGGCUAACUCCGUGCCAGCAGCCGCGGUAAUUC
rnacentral:rRNA from 1 species